rnacentral:lncRNA from 10 species
AAUAGUAUGUGGCACACAGAAGGUGUUCAAUAAAUAUUGGCUGAAUUAAUACAUAAGCAAUAGUCUAGAUAGAAGCAUAUAGGGCAUAGCACAGUCUACUCAGUAUAGUGCCUAGCACUUGAUAAGAACUAAAAGCAAAUAUUUAUAUAUGUAAAAAUAGAUGGGACUUGAAAUAUUAAUUCUAUUUCCUAUUUUGUGUAAUCAGCAGAAAAGAAUGUUAUAAGAGCUUGUCCGAUUUGGUUUGGUUUUAAAUUAGCAAUUCAGCAGCAAAGAGGGAAGCCAAUGAUAAUAGCCAAAGCCAAGCCAGAAGUCUGGGAACACAUCACAUGCCGGUGAAGACAGCAAAGACGUCACUGGUGUACAGCAAUCAUCAACCUUGCAUUGCCAAUAGCAGCUGUGGGCUGUAGGUUUUGUGGGAGAGCCCUGUCCAGCUGAGAAGGAAGAUGGAAGAAGGCUGGGAGCUCACAGUGGUUUAGGCAACUCUGCAGGAUUGAUGCACCCCCACAGCCUCUAAGCUGGAGUGUCUGAGAUCUGAGGAUGCAAAGCUCACUCCUAACUCAUUCAUGGACUUCAAAAUGACUUAAGAAAUAUCUCCCGGAAACUCAAACUUAGAGCCUCAUCCUUUUCAUGCAGUUUAGAACUCAUUAGGCCAUUUGACCUAAUCACAAGACUUAAGAGAUCCAUCAGUUGGAGACCGUGUUAUUCAAAACAAAACCAUCACAAAAGUCUGGCAAGAGAAAAACCUAUCCUCUCUCAGCGCUGGUGCCAUUCCUUGAGGAGCCACUGGGUCAGAACUGAGCGUCUUCCGAUGACUCAACCUCAGCUGGAGAAGAGUAGCUAGAAACCAAUCCAAGGACAAGCCCAAGCUAAUUGAAGACAUUAUUUCUAUUGCCUUCCGGCUCUCAUUGCAACUGUUAAGAAGUCAUUGAUAAAUCAGAAUUAUACAAUCUGGAAAACAGUCUGUUGGCUUCCCAUUGUAUUGGCCUCAUUGCGUCCAGUAAAGGAUGCCUGAAUCCUCUAAAAUUCAGGAAACUUUAGGACCCAUUGUUGGGGGUUUUGAGAGAUGGAAAGCGAGUUGUGCAGCCUUGGCUGGGCUGCAGCUGCGGAACAUGCCUAUGGCAAUGGUGACUUCCAUAGAAGGUCUAUGCUUCCCCAAGGAAAGGGCCUGAGGGCAGGACCUGAGCUCCCGUGAGGCACUACAUGGCAAAAUAAAGCCAAGGUGGACAGAGAACCUUGUGUUGGAAAAACGUCAAGGAGGAAAAAAAAGUGAAACUGCACCAGGUCACCUUACUGCAGUCCCCCCAUCAAAGGUCCCAAGAGGGAAAGCUGCCUACAACCUGGAUUUGGCAGGUACUAGUGCUUGGAAUUAAAUUCAUUCCUGUAGGGAUGGGGCAGCCAGGGAGCAAGAAAGGGUUGGAAUGCUUAUGAGGGAUUAAAAUAAAAAAUAUUAAAAUAUUAAACUUCAAAUAAAAAAUAAAAUCAAAAAUGAAUUAAGAAACUGCCCUGCCAACAACUUUGUCUUAUAACAUCAAUAAGGAUAAAUUAAAGGGGAAAAGAGGGUAAUAAUGAUCUGAUUCACGCCUUCUGCAAAGUCCUUGACGACGCUGUAGAACUGGAAGGAUGGCAAUCCACCCUUUCAUCUGGUUUAAUGUGGUGGCAGCACAGUAUUUUUUCAUUGCCAUGAACCACGCAACGGUCGACCUGUAACCACCCUGCUCCCCAGCAGGCUCACACACCUUCUGAGAGUUGUCCUUCUGUGUCUGCCAAGCCCUGAUGAUAAGGUGUGUUCCUCCACAUUAGUCAUAGAGGAGACUUAUGGGGAAGGUAGAAAAAUCACUUUCAGAUCAACGUCAAAACCAACGCUUGCUGUGCAGGUCUCUGCAAAUGCCCAUAUUCAAUCUCUACCACUCAUUCCUUUGUUAUUGUUAACAAUUAUAUAAGUUUAUUAUUAAAAAUUCAAACAAGUACACUAAACAGCAU